UCUUUUGAUUAAAAAUCAGUUUAGGAGAUCCUUCGAGCUGCAGUGAGAGUCAUGCUGCGUGGUAAAUGUGAAGAAAUACAACUGAAGAAAUACACACCUUUUCAGGAUGAAUCUACAGGAGAGGUGGGGAAGACGUCCUGCCGUGGCUGCCUCUUCAUCUGCCUUUCAACACUCAAGAAGCCAGAAGAGGGACACAGGAGCUCUGGUGUGGGAAAGGCUGACUGCAAAAUCACUCACACAGCAAAUCAUCAGGAAAGCAAGGAGAAGAUCACAGCCCUGUCUCCAAUUUCUUAGUGUUAGAGGGACCCAUUUCCUUCGUACAUCCUGAGCUUCUGCUCUCAUACUUUAAAAGAAAAUGGAAGAGAUGCCCACAGCUUCCUGGCUGUGGAAGCCCAGACUGGAGGAUGAGCAGUCUGAACCACAGAAUCUGCCACAUGUACAAAAUCAGUGUCCCUGUCCAUUGGAAGAAUUCCAAAUAGUUUGCAAUGACUAGAGCGGCAAUCCAUACAUGUUCAGGUAUGGAUCCUUAAAAAAAAAAAACAAAAAAAAAAAACAAAAAAAAAACCAUGAAAAUGCACAGCCCCUGAUGCAAUGGGUAAGACAGAGGUUGUGCUUUACUAUCCUGUAUUGAAAAAUAUAUUAGAAGUAAUUAACAUCUAAGUGAAAUUCUACUUAAUUACAAGACUAAAUACACACAUUGGGAAAUGGUAGUGAUAAUGAUAGUUCAUGUCACAACUCCCUGUGUUUCAUGUAUUGGCCUAUUUGGUAGUGAUACAUACAAAGUCAAUCUAUAUCACUUCUUCAGUCAGCAAAGAGUACCCAGGCCACUUGUGCAGUCCACCACUCUUCCUAGUAGGGCCUUGACACCCCAGGGUUUUAGAUUCAUAGUUGGGAAGGGUCGAGCCAUAUAAUACAUUAAGGCAUAUGAUAACUGAGGAACCAAAAAAAAAAAA